UACGGAGGGAGCUAGCGUUGUUCGGAAAUACUGGGCGUAAAGCGCACGUAGGCGGCGCAGCAAGUCAGGGGUGAAAUCCCGGGGCUCAACCCCGGAACUGCCCUUGAAACUGCAGUGCUAGAAUUCUGGAGAGGCGAGUGGAAUUCCGAGUGUAGAGGUGAAAUGCGCAGAUAUCAGGAAGAACACCCGUGGCGAAAGCGGCUCUCUGGAACGGUACUGACGCUGAGACGCGAAAGCGUGGGGAGCGAACAGG
rnacentral:rRNA from 1 species